rnacentral:rRNA from 1 species
GAUGAACGCUGGCGGCGUGCCUAAUACAUGCAAGUCGAGCGAACGGACGAGAAGCUUGCUUCUCUGAUGUUAGCGGCGGACGGGUGAGUAACACGUGGAUAACCUACCUAUAAGACUGGGAUAACUUCGGGAAACCGGAGCUAAUACCGGAUAAUAUCUUGAACCGCAUGGUUCAAAAGUGAAAGACGGUCUUGCUGUCACUUAUAGAUGGAUCCGCGCUGCAUUAGCUAGUUGGUAAGGUAACGGCUUACCAAGGCAACGAUGCAUAGCCGACCUGAGAGGGUGAUCGGCCACACUGGAACUGAGACACGGCCCAGACUCCUACGGGAGGCAGCAGUAGGGAAUCUUCCGCAAUGGGCGAAAGCCUGACGGAGCAACGCCGCGUGAGUGAUGAAGGUCUUCGGAUCGUAAAACUCUGUUAUUAGGGAAGAACAUAUGUGUAAGUAACUGUGCACAUCUUGACGGUACCUAAUCAGAAAGCCACGGCUAACUACGUG